rnacentral:lncRNA from 1 species
UUUAAAUUUUGAGUGUAUUUUAUAUAAGAGUUAUCUAUCAUUUUCUGUUUUUGAAAAACAGAAAACAAGAAAUGUAUACAAACGGGCACUUAACAUUUCCUCAUCUCUCUUGCAAAUAUUUUUUUUUGAUAAAUAAAGAGAUUGUAUUAAAAAACCACCGAAGCAGUGGCUAAAAGUACAAGAACCCCAUCUCUCUUACAAAUAUUACACUAUCCAUUCCUCUAUAGACAUCCCCACUAAAACCACCUCUUUUAGAGGUGCUUCUGUAACCAUAUCUCGUUCCUAGGAACCACCUUCCCCAUCUUCUGGUAGAACCAUCUUAAAAGCCCACUUUUAGACACUUUCUGCUCAAAGAAAUCAUCUUUUCCCAAUCUUCAAUUAACAGCUUAAAUGUAUCCCAUGGAUUCAUGCACCCAUUUCCCCCCUCCCUCUUUUUUUAGUAAGCAUUUUUUUUCAUCUUUUUAUUUUGGAUGCUACUAGCCUACUAUGAGUUGAAAUUGGAGACUCCCACAACGCUUGAGCAAGGCCUCAAAGGUGUACAUACACCAACUUUUACUCCCUAGACAAAUCUACUUUCCUUAAGAACAGUCUUUCUUGGACAAUAUCUCAAGGGAUUUUCUGGUAAUUGUUGGACCAAAGAGCUGAUAUUCAAUUAUUCAAGUAAUGACUCCCCUGCAUGGGUUUCAUGUUUGUUUGGUACACUGAGGCCUGCUUGACCUGGCAAGGUGGAAAUAGUUGUCGGCUUAUGUUGUGAUUAUCACUUUUGGUGAUAGUUUUACAAUAUUUAUGCAAUUCUGGGGCCUUGAUUACCUUUAGAAAGACCAAACAAUAAUGUUCAAAUGAUUGGACCUAAUUUAGUAGGGUCUUCAAAAUGAGGUGAUAAUUGAACCGUUGUAUCAUAUUGAGACAACAUUAG